rnacentral:rRNA from 1 species
GAGCGGAAGGCCCUUCGGGGUACUCGAGCGGCGAACGGGUGAGUAACACGUGAGCAACCUGCCCCAGGCUUUGGGAUAACCCCGGGAAACCGGGGCUAAUACCGAAUAUGACCUUGCACCGCAUGGUGUUUGGUGGAAAGUUUUUCGGCUUGGGAUGGGCUCGCGGCCUAUCAGCUUGUUGGUGGGGUGAUGGCCUACCAAGGCGACGACGGGUAGCCGGCCUGAGAGGGCGACCGGCCACACUGGGACUGAGACACGGCCCAGACUCCUACGGGAGGCAGCAGUGGGGAAUAUUGCACAAUGGGCGGAAGCCUGAUGCAGCGACGCCGCGUGAGGGAUGACGGCCUUCGGGUUGUAAACCUCUUUCAGCAGGGACGAAGCGUAAGUGACGGUACCUGCAGAAGAAGCGCCGGCCAACUACGUGCCAGCAGCCGCGGUAAGACGUAGGGCGCGAGCGUUGUCCGGAUUUAUUGGGCGUAAAGAGCUCGUAGGCGGCUUGUCGCGUCGACCGUGAAAACCUGGGGCUCAACCCCAGGCCUGCGGUCGAUACGGGCAGGCUAGAGUUCGGUAGGGGAGACUGGAAUUCCUGGUGUAGCGGUGAAAUGCGCAGAUAUCAGGAGGAACACCGGUG